rnacentral:misc_RNA from 1 species
UCUCCGUUGGUGAACCAGCGGAGGGAUCAUUACCGAGUUAUACAACUCACAAACCCACUGUGAACCUUACCUAAGUUGCCUCGGCGGGAACGCCCCGGCCGCCUGCCCCCGCGCCGGCGCCGGACCCAGGCGCCCGCCGCAGGGACCCCAAACUCUCUUGCAUUACGCCCAGCUGGCGGAAUUUCUUCUCUGAGUUGCACAAGCAAAAACAAAUGAAUCAAAACUUUCAACAACGGAUCUCUUGGUUCUGGCAUCGAUGAAGAACGCAGC